AAAAGUUCUUGGGUGACACACCCUCUCUCAGGCUCCCUCCUCUCUAGUUCCGGGUGUGUCACCCGAGAACCGUU
rfam:Myotis brandtii contig261847, whole genome shotgun sequence.